rnacentral:rRNA from 1 species
UACGAAGGGGGCUAGCGUUGUUCGGAAUUACUGGGCGUAAAGCGCACGUAGGCUGAUAGUUAAGUGAGGGGUGAAAUCCCAAGGCUCAACCUUGGAACUGCCUUUCAUACAGGCUAUCUCGAGUCCGGUAGCGGUUAGUGGAAUUCCCAGUGUAGAGGUGAAAUUCGUGGGUAUUGGGAAGAACACAGUGGCGAAGGCGGCUAACUGGUCCGGUACUGACGCUGAGGUGCGAAAGCGUGGGGAGCAAACAGG